rnacentral:rRNA from 1 species
GACGAACGCUGGCGGCGUGCUUAACACAUGCAAGUCGAACGGAAAGGCCCUGCUUUUGUGGUGUGCUCGAGUGGCGAACGGGUGAGUAACACGUGAGUAACCUGCCCUUGACUUUGGGAUAACUUCAGGAAACUGGGGCUAAUACCGGAUAGGAGCUCCUGCUGCAUGGUGGGGGUUGGAAAGUUUCGGCGGUUGGGGAUGGACUCGCGGCUUAUCAGCUUGUUGGUGGGGUAGUGGCUUACCAAGGCUUUGACGGGUAGCCGGCCUGAGAGGGUGACCGGCCACAUUGGGACUGAGAGACGGACCAGACUCCUACGGGAGGCAGCAGUGGGGAAUAUUGCACAAUGGGCGGAAGCCUGAUGCAGCAACGCCGCGUGCGGGAUGACGGCCUUCGGGUUGUAAACCGCUUUCGCCUGUGACGAAGCGUGAGUGACGGUAAUGGGUAAAGAAGCACCGGCUAACUACGUG